GGGUCGUUGGGUGCCAUCCGGGUUGGCCGUGGACCCAGAUUCUUGUUUUGGUUCCAGAUUGUGCCGAGGGCACGUGGGUUUGGUUUGUAAACCUGUUUUGACCCUGUUUACAUGACUUUGGCUAGUUGGAGCCUAUUUGAGUUCGACAGAGAUACGCUGCAUACUCGGUUGGGUAGCUCCCACGAGUGCCACUCCGGAGGCAGGCGCUGUGCUUUUGCGUUGGUGUCGUGCAUGCCAGUUAGACUUGCUCUCCACGGACUGAUUAGUGUGGAGGUAGCUUGAUAGUCUCAACUGGGCGGGGUGGGUGUGUUCACAGUCCCUGGGACGGGUAUGUUUACAGUUCCUAAAGAGAUUGGGUCAGGAUUGACAUUGCUACAGUAGGUUAGCAUAGAACAUGAUAGUGUAAUAAAUGGUAGCUGUAGAUUUUUAUUCCAGCAUUUAUUACUACCUUUGCUCCCUUCUGUAGACUUAGUGGGUGGACCGAUAUUGUUGAGGGUGGCACCCACUGAGGACU
rnacentral:lncRNA from 1 species